GUCACAAUUUACAAACCCGAACCCGGAUGAUCUAACCGUGAUCAGUGUGAAACUUAGUUAACACUAAACGGAGGCAUGAACUGACUGUUGCUGCAAGAACAGCGGAUGAAUUGCGGUUAGGGGUGAAAUUCCAAUCGAAUUCGGAGCUAGCUGGUUCUCCCCGAAAUGCGUUUUGGCGCA
rnacentral:rRNA from 1 species